CCGCUGGGGGUGGGGAAGUGGUCGCCUCGUGGGCCUGGCCGGGUUGUGCUGCGCUGCGCUGCGCUGAGCAGACUUCCCCCCCGCCGGAGACAACCCAGGCGUCCGAGUCCCCGUCCCACCCUCGCCAGGACAGAGCCCAGGCGUCCGAGACGCGCACAGCCAAAGAAGAAGCCAGGCAUCUGCGCUCCCGGACCCCCCACCUAGUACAGCCCGCGUAUCCGGGCUCCCACCAGGUCCAAAAAGAGGACACAUGGCAGGCGGGGGUGGGGGGCAGUGCCCUGUCCAUCCUGCUGCCCCUCCAGCUCCUGCCCCAGCCCUGCCCUGCCCGAACGCCCAGGACUUCGCUUUGCUCCGGGGUGGGAGCAGGGGGAGGCGACUGGAGGCAGCAGAGUGCACCGCCUGGGCCAGCCGCCUCCACGCGCUGCAGGCGGGUCCGUCGGCGCUCUCCGCUCCCGCCAGUGGAGCAAAGGAAAAUCUUGGGCAUUUGAGCAGAUUUAAAAAAACCCACCCAGACAGAGAUCAGAGGGCUCAAAAAGAGGACGUGUCUGGGAAAACCCGGACAGAUGUCUGUGGCGGGACAGAACUGCCCCUUCUUGGGCCCAAAGACAUGGAUGCGGCAGCAGCCCGAUGUGGGGUUGAGCCAGUCAAGGAAGUCGUCCACCCACGAUGUGGCUGGGAUGGCCAGCCGGUGCUGGAGCAGACGCCGUCAAUGCCAGCAGUCAAGGAGAAGUUGUAGCCGGAUGUGGUGAUGAAGAAGGUGGGGACACCCACCAUGAAGUACUGGUUCAGUGCCUCAAAGUACUGCAGCAGCACUGAUUCUCCCCAAGGCCAAGGUGGUACCUCCUGCCUGCGGGCAUCCAGCGCCACCAGCGCCACGAAAGCCGAGAUCUGGAGCAGGAAGUCAAGCACAACAGCGACACCGGCCGAGAGUGCGAAGGACCGGACUGCCGGCAUCUGGAAGGGCUGUGGGUCAGGAGUGAGGGGCACCGGCCACCCCUCCAUACCUCUGCCAUGUAGGCCACAGAGAGGUUGCCAGCAUGCUCGCGCUGGAAGUCCUGCAGGAUCUC